CGAGGGGCUGGAGCAUCGGGGCAGGGAUGAGGAGGGGCUAGGGCAUCGGGGGCAGGGGCACCGAGGGGCUGGGGUGUCACGGCAGGGGCACCAAGGGGCUAGGGCAUUGGGACAGGGAUGCGGAGGGGCUGUUUUCUGAGAAUCUCACCCAGAUGAAGGCUGCCUGUUUGCCAGCUCCCUGCCCUGGGAUCUUUGCUGAUGAUCAGCAGACUGUCAGGGGGAGACCAGAGAUUGAUGACUAAACAUUCUGGAAGUUUUCUUCCCCAGACAUCCCCUUGUUAUCUGAAAGACCUUGAGAAGUGGCCUGGUUGCUGAUAGUCUCCAGAACCAUUCUGCCAUCCCCAGGCAAGCAGCAGGCAGGAUGGCUCGGCUCAGCCCCAGGCUCUCAGGGCUGUUGCUUCGCCUGGUAAGGAGAUCUGCUCCGAGCAGACUAUGGCUUAAAAAAAAAAAAAAAAAAGACUACAUUAUAAAUGUUCUCCUUUUCUGGCUAUAAAAGUAGUGUGUGCUCAUUGAAAAACACUUGCUAGUGUCGAACUCUUCUCCAAAGGAGGGCAGAAAAAUCCCUCAGGAUCCCAUCUCAGGGAGAACUGCUGGUGAUACGUUAGCAUCUUUCCUUCUGGAAUUUCUGUCUAUACCCUCACCUAACUGUUGUUAGUUAUCACCAAGUUGGCUCCAGCUCAUGGAGACCUCAUGUACAACAGAAUGAAAUGUUACCUGGCCCUGUGCCAACUUCUUGAUCCUUGGUAUGUGUCUUAGUCAUCCAGCGCUGCUGUAACAGAAAUACCACAAGUGGAUGGCUUUAACAGAGAAGUAUAUUUCCUCACAGUAAAGUAGGCUAAAAGUCCAAAUUCAGGGCGUCAGCCCCAGGGGAGGGCUUUCUCUCUCUGCGGGCCUUCUCAUCAAUGUUCCCCUGGACUAGGAGCUUCCCUGGGCAGGGACCCGCAUGUUCAAAGGAUGCGCUCUGCUCCCGGCACUGCUUUCUUGGUGAUAUGAGGUCCCGCCUCUCUGCCCAAUUCCCUUUCCUUUUAUCUCUUGAGAGAUAAAAUGUGGUGCAGGCACACCUCAGGGAUACUUGCUUUACAUUGAAUCAGGGAUGUGACCUUAGUAAGGGUAUUACAAUCCCACCCUAAUCCUCUUUAACAUAAAAUUACAACCACAAAAUGGGGGACAACCACACAAUACUGGAAUCAUGGCCCAGCUAAACUGAUACACACAUUUUUGGGGGGGGACACAAUUCAAUCCAUGACAGUAUGUUUGAGUCCAUUGCUGAGGCACUGUGUCAGUCCAUCUCACUGAGGGGUUUCCCUCUUUACUGCUGACCCUUCACUUUACCAAACACGAUGUCCUUUUCCAGUGAUUGACCUUUCCUGAACAUGUGUCCAAAGUAAGCAAUAUGAAGUCUCGCCAUUCUCGCUUCUAAGGGACGCUCUGGUUCCGUUUCUUCUAAGGCUGAUUUAUUCCUUCUUCUGGCAGUCACACUGUGGGUAACACAGGUCUGGGAAGGCUGAAGGUAACUUACCUGCCAGGCUUACCUAAACAGUCACUUGUGUGGGAGGCUGUGAAUCUUCAGACCCCUCAGGAGGAGGCUGAUAAGGUGCCAGGGCCUUUUGGGAGGAGGGUGGGCACCAAGCCCUCAACCCUUGCUACUCAGAUACCCAUAUCUUGGUUGCAGAGGCUUCAGGGGCCGGGUCAAGCAGCAACAGCCAGCGUCUUGCACUGGGGGGUCAGCAGUAGACGUGGAAGUGUCUGUGCCCCCUGAAGGUCUCCGGGUGUCCCCUCCCCCACGAGGCAGGUCUGUGGAGUGACUUCAGACACUGUUCCUGGCCACAUAGCCUCCAAAUCUCAUUGUCUGGCCCUGCAGCGAUCCCGUGAGCUGCUCAGUGAUCUUUCAUAUGUCUAGUUGUGCUUCAAUGGGAAGAAAUCAGCUUCUUGCAGCCAAGUUCCCUGAUGGCCAGGGGUGGAUGAUCCAAUAGGCAAGGUAAGCACAGGCUUACUUGUGCAUACUUACUAAUCUGUAGUGAACAAUUUGAAGCCAUGUGACCUUGACGCAAGCCAUGACCCAGUAAGCAAGGUAAGCACGGGCUUACUUGUGCUUAUUUACUAACCUGUAGUGAAAAGGGCCAUUCCCCCCAAAGCCCUACUGGGGCCAGGAGUUGAAGGGCUUGGGGCUGGAAGACAUUGGCAUGGUGCCUCCUUCUGUGGCUGGGCAGGGGCAGCCUCAUGGUUCAGGGCUGAGUCAGUGGGCACCAGGCUUGGAGGGCAGGGGGUGGCACUUAGGCCCCUCCGGAUCUGGAAUGGAGACGGGGCAUCAGGGGAGGUAAGCACAAGUAAGCCCGUGCUUACCUUGCUUACUGGGUCAUCCGCCCUGUCAGGUAUUUUACAUUUGAAAAGAGGCUUUGAUUCUGUAGGAAGGUGCUGUGGGGUUGGGAGAGAGACCGAUGCCAGCCAUAGCUAGAAGCAGAAUCUUUGAUGUGAAAAACCCUGAAAUUGUUCACUACAGAUGGUCUGGUAAGCAGGGUAAGCACUGUACUUACCUUGCCUACUGGGUAAUCCUCCCCUGCUGGUGGCCACUCAGGGGUUCAGUGCACACUGUUCUCCCCAGUUUUGCUUGUGGCCCCUUGGGCUCUUGGAUUUUGGUGGGAGGCUUGGGGGGUGGGCAGGGGCUGGCCUCCGUGGCUAUGUGGCUCCCCCACGCUUGAGGUGGGGCUGCUGGCUCCUUCUCCCAGUGAGCGGUGUAAGAGAGUGGUUCUGAGCAUAGGCUUUGGUGGUGCCUCCUCAGUGGCUGUGUGCUCUUGGGUGAGUUACUUAGCCUCUCUGAACCUUGGUUUCGCUGAGGAUUUGUAAUAGACAUCUGGGGUUUCUUUUUCUUUUUUUGACAUCCUUUUUUUUGUCCACCCAGCAGCCCUUUUUCUAUCUUCUGAUGCUGGAGGCCCUUUUUCUUGGGGUCAAUUCAUUUACGACCCAUUGAGGAUGGGUAUGGGCCUCCAGGGGGCUUGCAGAUUUUCCCCAGAAUUUUUCUGGUUAGAAAGGACUAUUGGUUUGUGCCGGCAUUUCUGCGUAUAGGUUGAAGUGUGUCCCGGUUGCAGGCAGCCAUCUUGUCCUCAAUGCAGAGGUGGCUCUUAGGGAGACAAGGAAAGGGAUGGUGAACCCGGGACUCAGCCUCUAGGAGGCACUGGGGGUGGGGGGGACGGGGCACUGACAACACCUUCCAGCUCCUGCAGCAAAAUCUACAGCUGAGGCUUCCAGUUACAGGAUCCUUUGACUGAUUGUAGGGUGUUGCCCUGGGUGAAUUUCUAGAAGUGGAAUGACUUGGCCAUGGGCAUUUUCAGACCUCUCGAUACCUGUCGUGAUGCUCAGUUAAAAAAACUUUUUUUAUUGUGCUUUAGGUAAAGUUUACAGAACAAAUUAGUUUCUUAUUAAACAAUUAAUACACAUACAGUUUGUGACAUUGUUUGGAAACCCCACAACGCAUCAACACUCUCCUCUUCUCAACCUUGGGUUCCCCAUUUCCACUCAUCCGGCUUUCCUGGUCCCUCCUGUCUUCUCGUCCUUGCCCCCGGGGGGAUGCUCAGUUUUGAAACAGCAUCUGUACCCUUCCCCCCCAAAUUUUAUUAUGGAAAAUUUAAAGACUUGUACAAAAGUUCAAAGAAUUGUGCAGUGAACAAUCACCACCUAGAUUCUACAGUUAACAUUUUACCAGAUUUGAUGUAUUGCACCUCCAUCUAUCUAUCCAUCAUCCAUUCAUCUUUAUUGUGGUAAAAUACACACACCACAAAAUUUGCCAUUUUAGCUGUUCAAAAAUGUUCAAUCCAGUGGUGUUAAUCACACUUACAAGGGUGUGCAGCCAUCACCACAAUUUUUUUCCAAAACCUUUUCAUCACCCCAAGCAGAAAGUCUGUACCCAGCUCCGGGUGAUCACUAACCUACUUUAUGUCUCUGUGCUUUUGCCUAUAAUAGAUAUUUUGUUUAAGUGGGAUCAUGCAGUAUUUGUCCUCUUAUGUCUGGCUUAUAUGACUCAACAUAAUGUUUUCAAGGUUCAUUGAUGUCAGAGCAUGUACCAGAACUUCGUUUCUCUUUAUGGAUGAUUCCAUUGCAUAGAUAUAACACAUUUGGUUAUCCAUUCAUCUGUUGGUGGACACCUGGAUCGUUUCCACCUUUUGGCUCUUAAGGAAUAGUGCUGCAGCGAACACUGGGUACAAGUAUCUCUUUGUAUCACGGCUUUCAAGUCUUUUGUGCAUAUACCUAGGAGUGGAAUUGCUGGGUCAUACGGUGUCAUCGACUCGACGGCACUAGGUUUUUUAGGUAUGGUGUCAUGGAUUGGAUUGUGUCUCCCGCAAAAUACAUGUCAAGUUGUCUAGGCCAGGAUUCCCAGUAUUGUGUGAUUGUCCACCAUUUUGUCAUCUGAUAUGAUUUUCCUUUGUGUUGUAAAUCCUACUUCUAUGAUGUUAAUAAGGCAGGGUUAGAGGCAGUUAUAUUACUGAGGCAGGACUACCAAUCUACAAGGUUGUGUCUUAAGUCGAUCUCUUUUGAGAUAUAAAAGAGAGAAUCAAGCAGAGAGACACGGGGACCUCAUAUUGCCAAGGAACAAGAGGCAGGAGAAUAGCACGUCCUUUGGAUCUGGGGUCCCUGAGCCGAGAAGCUCCUCAACCAGGGGAAGAUUGAUGACAAGGACCUUUCCCCAGAGCCUACAGAGACAGAAAGCCUCCCCUGGAACUGGAGCCCUGAAUUCAGAUUUCCACCCUCCUAGACUGUGAGAGAAUACAUUUUUCUUUGUUAAAGCCAUCCCCUUGGGGUAUUUCUGUUACAGCAGCACUAGAUAACCAAGACCUGUGGUAAUUCUAUGUUCAACUUUUCAAAGGACUGUCAUUGUUUUCCACAGUGGCUGCACCCUUUUACAUGCCCACCAGCAAUAGACAAGGGGUCCGAUUCUCCACAUCCUUGCCGACACGUGUUAUUUUCCAUUAAAAAAAGAAAAGUCAUUCUAGUUGGUGUGAAGUGGUGUCUCAUGGCGGUUUUGAUUUUCAUUUCCCCAAUGACUAAUGAUUUUGUGCAUAUUUUCAUGUUUCACUGUCAGCCGAUCUUCAUUGCCUGACAGUCUUCCAAAGCUACCAUUAAUUUAGUCCCAUGGGCUCGGUGUUGUGCUAAGCAUUUUAUGCGCCUUUUCUUAUUUAUAAAUAACAACCCUAUUGCUUGGAUAAGAUUAUUACCAACUUUAGAGAUGAAGGAACAAAGACUCAGAGAAGGUUUGCAACUCAUCAAAGGCCACACAGUUAGAAAGCGUAGAUGUACCCUCAGUUGAGUGAGUCCACUUCAAAUCCUAUGCCAUUCUUGCCUGAAACCCACUUGGGAGGUGGGGACACUGGUGAGCAUACGCAAAGGAGUGACUAGGAUCCUUUCUCCGCAGGCGUCCCCACUCCCUACACACCCUGCCCCCUGCCCAGGUCCUGAAGCUGCGCUCUGUGGCCACUUUCCCAUCUGUCCCCUUGGAGCCUUCAACAUGUGGGUUUCUAUAGAGGCCAACUUAGUUCCUCCCAGUCCCCUUGGCUCACCUCCCGCUUCCUCCCGAUGGCAGAUUAAUGAAGACAUCAUAUAAUUUCCUCCAAAUUCUCAGUGGGUGCACCUGAGGAUGAGGUAAAGGGUGAGGUAAAGGACUCAGGGAAAUGCUGUCAUUUUCCACACUCACUGUUGCGGGUUUUUGGACGGCAAGCAUGGUUGGUUGUUGACAACCUGUCAGGCUGUUUUCUGCAAGAAAUGGGGCAGAAGUCCGUUUCCAUUUUACAAGUCUCCUUUCCUUUAGCCCAGUACAGUCCUCUCCAAAGUACCGGUCAGUGGAGACAAAGCCCCAUUGAGUCUCAAGGACUGGGGACCCCACCCUCCCCCCAUUUUCCUGUGUGAUUGCGGAGUAGUGAACUUUUGUAUAAAGGAACUCUUUGAUUCCACUUCAGAGAGCUGACGUCUGCUUCAGGCCCCUCCACCCCUUGGGCACACCCUCUGUAGGAGUGGGAAGUGGGUCUCUCUCACAGCCCCCUGAGCCCCUAGAGGGGGUGUUCACAGGAGUGAUACCUGAACUUUCUCCUGUGCAUGGAGCCCCUUAGAACUGCCUGGGAGGACUGGGGCUCUGCCUCUCUCUCUGGGAUUGUGUGGGGCCUCCAGGGAACAGGGGUGGGGGCUCCCUGCCAGAUGGCUUCUCAUCUCUUGGUGCCAUGCUUGUCUUGGAGGGGACCCUAGAUGUUGGCACCAGAUAGUGUCUCCAAUGCUGUGUCCUCUUUUGGGGUGCAAACCACAUGAGGGGUGUGGCCCUUUAGUCUUAGUGGACCUGCCCUCCUGGGACCCUUCUUUCUGAACUCUUCUGUCUUGUUUUUCUACCCUGCGCCCCUUCUGUCCUUUUCCUGAGUCAGCUGUGUGUUCGUUGCGAUUGGCUGCAGGUCCACCACGUGCUCUGGGAAUGGAAAGUUUUCAGGGAAUGGGGAAGGGGAUAUUGGGGUAAGAAGAUGGUGGUGGUGGGUGCCCUUCCUUAUUCUGCUUCUUCCCGGAAGUGGCUAGAGAGUCCCGUGAUGGAGGAGAACCUCCCUGGUGAACUGUGAGCUCCCCGAGGGCAGGGACAUGACUUGUCAUCUUUGCAUGGCCAGUGCUGAGUCAGUGUCUGGUACAGUGUCACUGCGGCAUCAUUGUUUCCCAGGAUUCCGUUUCCACAUCUGUGCAAUGGGGCAUUAAUUCCUCCUCCGCAGGGCUAUCCUAAGGAUUGCGUGCAAGGCUGCAUGGAAAGUACCAGAAGCAUCCGUAUGUAGUGAGCUCCAGUGAACAACUCCGGAUAGUGCCCUUGUCAUCCUGGGAUGAUGACAUCAGGAGAACCUACUGAGCCUCACCUUCGUGUGGCAUCAGGCGAUGCCCACCUCAGGGCUCCCAAGCACUAAGCGAGAGCUCGUCAAGAGGCUCUGGCUGGUACGGACCUUUGGGCACCCAGCAAAUGUGCUUUCCUUCAGCUCCCUCCGGAGAGGCACAGGGUCCAGACCUGCCUGCAAGGAGAAACAGAGUUCUUGGCUUGGCUCCUCUGGAGGGUCUCUGACCCCCUUCCCCACAGAAUGCAUCUUCCAUCUGCGUGGUGGGCACAAACAUGGCGAUGUGCGAAUAUCUGUGCCAUUAGGAAAAGGGCAGCUAGAGGAAAGAGCAGGUGCUGUGGUGGUGGGGAUGGAGGGCACCCUAAGCUGGAUGAGUGAGAUGGCUGUUUGAGCUGGGCCAGGCCGGAAAGGGCCAGGGCAGAGAAAAAGAGGUUGGUUGGCAUGGUCUGCAAAGCCCACCUGAGCCCACAGGCAGGAUGGAGGGCGGUUCCACUGACACCUGCCCCCCCCAGUACCUGAGUCUUUCUGUGUCUCUGCCCCAGGGCUUUCUUUGGCACCAGGAGGGCUUGUUCCUCCACAAAUCCAGGAGCAACCUGGAUGUGUGGGGGAGUUUUCUGUAAGCUGCUGGGGAUGGGAGUUAGUGGGUCAGGCCCUGGUCUCCAUGCCUGAGUCUCAGCGGGGUUUCUGAGGGCAUGUGGGGACUGAGCCCAGACGCCCACCAUGGUGACUCCUCACUAGCAUCCACUAUGAUGGUUUCCCUACUUUCUGUCUUUCCUACUUUUUCCACAUCCUCCCUGUGCUUCCUGGGACCACCUCCUAAAUAAGCUACUGCCCUCAAGUCCUGGUCUCUGGGUCUGCUUUUAGGGAACCCAAGCUAAGACAGAAGGCAAAGAUCCUGAAGCGAAAAGAGAACAGGGAGCAAAGCCCUGGUGGUUGAGAGGGUUAAGAAUAAAGUGUCCAUUGGCCAAGGUCAAGAAACAAGAUCAAGGACUGGACAGUGGGAUAGAAAAAUGAUACUAGUGAAGAAUGAGCUUCUUGGAUCAAGUAGACACAUGAGACUUUGUAGGCAUUUCCUGUCUGGAGGGGAGAUGAGAGGGCAGAGGGGAUCAGAUGCUGGCCUAAUGGACACGAAAAGAGAGUGGAGGGAAGGAGUGUGCUGUCUCAUUAGGGGGAGAGCAAUUAGGACUAUAUAGCAAAGUGUUUAUAAAUUUUUGUAUGAGAGUCUGACUUGAUUUGUAAACUUUCACUUAAAGCACAAUAAAAAAAAAAAAAGAACAACAAAAAACAAUUGUCAGGAUUCACACACAAAAAAAAAACAUCAGGUGUGGGGAGGCCUCUGGGAGAUGGGAGAAUAAGGAAAAGCCUGGGAAACUCAAGCAGAAAAGGUCUUCCUGUCUCAGAAUAUGGGGGAGGGAAGGCUGCAGGGAGCAGGGAGAGCUGGCAGAUGCUGUGUGUGGGCUGGGGCCACACCUGGGAAGAAGUGUGAGGUGAAGCUCAAGGUGGAGGGAGACCUGAGUGUGGGAACCUGGACCAAGGAGACCUUCAGACUGGGUCUGCUAGUCCAGCCAACCCUGGCUACGGCUGGGGAAGCUGAGGCCCAGAGAUGGGCAGCGGCUUGCCUUGGGCUCACAGAAGGGUCUAGAACCUUGGUCUCUUGACCUCCUGAUUUGGCCUCUUUCUCGGACACUGAGGGCUUCUCUGGCUGGGGAAUGACUAGUUGGUGGCCAGUGGGUCUGUCUGUUGAGGCUCUGCUUGUGUAGCCCACCUGUGCUGGGGCCAGGGUGGAGAGGCUGACCCCAUGGCCAAGCGCCGACGCCCUCCCUGGCCAGGCACGGCCACGUGGCCUCUGCUUCCUCCUUUGUCAGCAGUUUGGUUAGGCAAUGCCCCUUGCAAGUUUUCAUUAGGUGGCAUGAAUAAAAUACAGUAAUACCAUACUUACAUGGAGGUGUUGUAUUUAUAGCUCUUGGAAAGUUCUCUCCCCAAAGCUGGCUCCCUGGGCCCUGCCAAAGCCUGGCUCCCUUUGCCACUCCGCUUAGCCGGCAAUGCUCCCUUUUCCCAGCACUGUGAUCCCAGCCCGGCGUGACUGGCUGUGGUGUUCACAGGCAGCCGCAGGCACUUGGUGACAGGCAGCAGCCUCCACCGCACAGGUCUGUUUUUGUCAGAAAACACCUUAAAAUCACUCUUGGAGAAGAAAAUGUGUUUUAUUUGGGGGCAGUAGGAAGGGUCUGGUGCCGUUCAAAGUGCUCCUGUAUUUUUCAGCCCCUUUUUUUAACCUUCCACCGGAAAUUAUCCGAAGCCUGUUUUCUACACUCAAAGGAGACCCUUUGGUUAAUGUCUCAGGCUUCAGGGUUGCAGCUGGAAUUGCUCCCCUGGGAGAGGGUGUCAGAGCCAGUGUCUGAGCUUCCUGUUGGUGCUGUGACAAAUGACCACAAACACAGGACUAGGAAGAAAGGCCUGGCAACCUACAUCUGAAAAUCAGCCAGUGAAAACUCUAUGGAUCACAAGAGUCCAAUCUGCAACCAAUCAUGGGGAUGGUGCAGGACUGGACAGCGUUUCAUUCUGUUGUGCAUGGGGUCACCAUGAGACAGAGGCUGACUAGUUGGCAGCUAACAACAAAACUUGAGAUAUGUGGUAGUUACUAUUAUUAAUAACAACAAGGCAGAACUCCAAAUCUCAGAGUCUCCAGGGAUAUACAGUGGCACUGGGCGCCCUGGUUCCUGUGGCUUCACUCGGGCCUUGGAUGCAUGCUCCAUUUCCCUUUGCUCCUUUUUCUUAGACAAACCCUACUCAUCAUUUGAGGCCUGGCUCAGUCCUCACCACCUCCAGGAAGCCCUCUUUGACUGAGCCGGGGGAAAUAGCUGCCCUUUCCCUGUGUUCACACCUCCUCUGCCUCUCAUAGACGUGGGCAUGGUGGGUGGAAGGAGCCUGGUGAUACACUUUGCUGAUCUGGGAGGAAGUCCUUGCCCUGUCACUCAUGAGGCAUGUGACCUCAGGGCAGGUCUCAGCCCGAUUCCUCAGCUCGGACAUGGGCUCAAUGCUGAUCCUUUCCUCCCUGGUGCAGAGGUGUCUGUGUGAUGCCUUCACCAAGGGGUCUUGCCUGUGUUAAAUUCUCUAUUAAUGAUGGCACUGUUUGACCUGGACUAUGGCCAUCUUUUAUUCAAUGGGUCCACUACUUAACUGUUAUGUAAUAAAACAUAAAGGAGCCCUGGUGGUACAGUGGUUAAGUGCUCGGCUGCUAACCAAAAUGUUGGCGAUUUAAACCCACCAGCUGCUCCACAGGAGAAAGAUGUGGCAGUUGCUUCUGCAAAGAUCACAGCCUCGGAAACCCUAUGGGGCAGUCCUGCUCUGUCCUACAGGGUUGAGGAAUCGACUUGGUGGCAACGGGCUUGGUUUUGGGUUUUAAUGAAGCACAGGGGCUGGCUGGUAAACAAAAGCUCUCAGAACACAGGGUGGUCUGUGGGAGCCAAAGAUCGUCCCAGGGUCCUUCCUUUUGAUGUUAGGGGACAGCAACUCAGAGGCCCUGCCCCCCAUGCCCAGUGACUUUUGUCUAGAGGACGUAUGCUUAAAGAUAGGUGGUGGGUUUCUCAGGCCCCAGGCACCUGGUUCUGAUGCUGUGUGCCCGACUCCGCCCCCCAGGCCUGCUCAGAGGCCCCUCCCAGCUGAGACCCUUGGCCCCAUGGUAACUGGGUGGGGGAUGGGCCCAGUCUGCUGGGUGCACUGAAUGACCCUCAGUUCUCCAGGCCUUUAUUACCUUUGUCACAUGGCCCUUGUCCUGUCCCUCCUCUUUGCCCUGAUUGUUUGUACCAGCUGUGCCCCAUAAGCCCAGUGGUGUCCCAGGGUUGUGGUGAGCCCAUAAAUACCUUGUUAAAUUGCUGGGGAACAAGAAUACUUUAUGUUGGUGGUGACUCCAGCCCAGUCCAUUAAGUCUGUCCCGAUGCAGCGUUGGGGCCUGGAGUGGCCCCCCCACAGGCUUUGUGGAAUCUUGGGCUAAGCCCUUUGUAAGCCCCUCAUUAGGGCUCUGGGCUCCCAGACCUGGUGCUAUGGUCCUUGUGUGGCCAUCCACCCCACUCUGCUGGGCUCUGCCCUGGGUCACUGCCUCUGCGACAAUCUCAUGGCCACAUGGGGGCUUGUGGGUUUUGUGAUCUCCUGCCUCUUUUCGUGUAUGGGUCCCUUGGGCAGCCCUGUGUCCUAAUUCCUGGUCCUUAGAAGGACACACUCCCCACCCCAGGAUCUGCUUCUCUGUUUCAUGCCUUCAGACCUCAGUCUCAGCUCCGUGCCCUGAUUCACAGUGAGGGGAUAGCUUUGGUCACCAGCUGGGGUGGAGAUCUCUGGAGCAUGGUGGGUGGGGCUGGAUUAAAAGAAUUUUUUUUUGUUUUAUUGUAGUAAAAUACACAUAAAACUUAUCAUUACUGACAUUUAGGAUAGUCACAAUGUCACACAACUAUCGGCUCUACCCAGAGGCAGAUUAUCCAGAAGGCAAGGUAGAACAGUGCUUCGCGAAACCCAUGUGGAACUGUUCACUACAGAUUAGUAAACAAGCAGAAGUAACCGAAUCGACGGCACUAGGUUUCUGGGCUAAGCCCGUGCUUACCUUGCUUACUGGGUCAUCCCCCCGCCUCUGCCUACUUCCGGAACAUUUCCAUCUGCCAAUGGAAACCCCGUACCAUUAAGCAGUCACUCCCUAUUCUCCUUCCCCCUCCCUGUGCAAUCACCAACCUUUCUGUCUCCGUAGGUUUUCCAGUUCUGGACUUUGCAUAUAAAUGGAAUCACACAAUACGUGAUCUUUUUGUCUGGCUUCCUUCAUUUAGCACAGUGUUUUCAAGGCUCAUCCAUGUUGUAGCAUGUGUCAGAGCUUUAUUCCUUUUUAUCGUAUGGAUACACUGCUUUUUGUUUAUCCUUUCAUCAGUUGAUGGACAUUUGGAUCCUUUCUAUCUUUUGGCUAUUGUGAUUAACUCUGCUGUUGCAGGGAAGACUUCCCAGCUGGGGACCAAGUCCUGCCUGGGUUCUCGCCUCGGACCAAGAAUGACCAUGAAAGGCUCAGGGGUUCCAUAUGAACAAAGGUUUAUUAGUGACAGAAAGAAAGCAGAGGCUCACGAGGGAGAGACGGAGAGGGGCUUCUGCCUAGGCUAGCCUCCAGUCUCUCCCCGAACAGAGGUUUUCCUGGAGUUUAUAAGGGGUUUUAGGUGGGAAGGAUCUCAUGUUUUAUUCAUUGCUUUCUGGGGAAAAGGCAGGGCUUUCUGAGAAAUAGGGGAGUUAAGAAAUGAGGUGCGAGGGCAUCUGGAAUCCAAGGUGGAGUCAGUUUGGACACCCCCACUGCACAGUCCUGGUGGCCACUUGACAAGACUGAAGGUCGUACUCAUUCUCACUGCACAUGCCCUGGGGACGGGCUAAUUCCGUUCAUCUUUGGAAAACUGCUUGUAGGGAACAAAUGUAGAACUUCACAUGUCAGGGUCCAGGAUGUGGGUUUUCUUGUGACUCCACCCCCUGUGGUACAGUCCUGAAGAACAACUUACAAGAGAGAUAUGCAGGAUGCCACCCCUAUGGUGGGGUCCCGAAAAACAACUUCAGAGAGAUAUGUAAGACUUGUGUGUCACAGGCUGCAUGUGUGGGUUGUCUUGUAACAUCACCCACAGGAUAGGGUACCAGAUCAACAGGCCUGUUAUGCUGGCCUUGAGGCUGUCCAGGCUUCUGUCCCUGCUUCACUGCUAUAAACAUUCGUGUACAAUUUUUUUUUCUGGGUGGCACAAAUAGUUAAGCACUCAACUACUAGCCAAAAGGUUGGCGGUUUGAACCCACCCAGAGGCACCUCAGAAGACAGGCUUGGUGAUCUGCUUCCAAAAGGUCACAGCCUUGAAAACCCUAUGGAGCCGUACUACUCUGCACACAUCGGGCCGCUAUGAGUCAAAGUCAACUCCAUGGCAGCUAACGACAACAUCAAAACAUAUAUAACGAAAUAUUUGUCAUUUCGACCACUUUCACGUGUGCACUUCGGUGACGUUAAUUAUGUUCACAGUGUUGUGCAACCAUCGCCACUAUCCGUUUCCAAUUUUUCUCACCACUUUUAACAGAAACUCAGUGAGCCUUUAAGUAAUAACUUCCCCCUUUCUCCUCCCACCCACCCCUGGUAACCACUUAUAAACUUUGGUCUCUAUGUACUUGUCUAUUCUACAUACGUCAUCUAAGUGGGGUCAUACAGUGUUUGUCUUUUGUGACUGACUUAUUUCAGUCAGCAUAAUGUUUUCAAGGUCCCUCCAUGCUGUGGCAUGUCUCAGAGCUCCAUCUCUCUUCACGGCCGAGUAGUAUCCCAUUGUAUGGUUAGACCACAUUUUGUUUAUCCAUUCACCUGUGGAUGGACACUUGUGUUGUUUCCACCUUUGGGCUAUUGUAAAGAGGCCUGGCGACCCAGGGGUUAAGAGCACAGCUGCUAACCAAAAUGUCAGCAGUUCGAAUCUACUAGCCGUUCCUUGGAAACCCCAUGGAGCAGUUCUACUCUGUCCUAUAGGGCCACUAUGAGUCAGAAUUGACUUGAUGGCAAUGGGUUUGGUUUAGUUUCUUUCUGGCUAUUGUAAAUAAUGUUGCAUGAUUGCGUACAAUUAUCUGUUUGAGACUCUGCUUUUGGGUAUAUGCCAAGUUUUUCUGGAGCUUCUCAGGUUCACAAAACUGAGCUAACCAUCAGCCCACCUCCUGGCUCACCUCACCAGGGGACCGUGCACAGAUGCUGUUGGGUUUUAUUUACUUUAUUAUUUCCCCACUUUGUCCUCCCUCCUCAUUCCAAUUCCCCCCUCCCAAUAAUACCCACUUUUGUGCAUUUGAUUUAUGUCCUUUCAAUCCACUCUCAAUACAUUAUACAUUUAUUUGAAUAUAAGUGACUCCUUGAAAAACAUGUAGUGCUAUUUUGUGUGUGUUUUACAAUCUACAUAAACAGUAUUGGUCCAUAAACCUCAUUCUGCUUCUUACCUUUUUUUUUUCGGUACGACAUUAUGUUUUUAAGACCCACUCUUGUUGCUAUAUUAAGUCUAGUUUAAUACUGGUGCAUGCAAUUUACGUUGUGUGAAUAUACUUCACACACACACACACACACACACACACACACACUUUUCCAUUCCUGAGCCAGGGGCCCUGGGGUUGCCUCCUCCUACUCUUUGUACCAUGGCCAACACUGCUCUGAGCAUCCUUCUAUGUGUCUUCUAUGGACUGUGCAAGAAGGUCUUGGGUGCCUCUCUAGGAGUCACAUCACUGGCUGGUGCCAACCUGAUUUAGCCAGGGACUGUGCAUGACUCUGUGGAGUGCCAGCCGCAGUUUGCCCUCCUCCCAGCAGAAUAGGACAGAUCUCAUUUCUGCAGACUCACAACUGUACUUGAUAUUAUGUGACCCUCUAUUUUCUGCCGCUCAGAUGACUGUGGCAUGGUAUCUCAUAUUAACGUCCAUGUCUCUGGUUAUUGGAGCCCUGGUGGCUCAAUGGUUAAGAACUUGCCUGCUAACCAAAAGGUCGGCAUGGUGAAUGGGGGUUGGGGGGUCAGCCCUGCCUGCCCAGGUCUUCCCUCCUGUGAGCCCUCCUAGGGAUCCAUGCAGAAUCUCAGGGAAGGAAUCCCUAGGCCUAGAACCCCACUAAGAAGCCCUGGUGGUGCAGUGGUUAAGCACUUGGCUGCUAACUGAAAGGUUGGCAGUUGGAAUCCACCAGCCGCUCUAUGGGAGAAAGACGUGGCAGUCAGCUUCCGUAAAGAUUACAGCCUUGGAAACCUAUGGGGCGGUUCUACUCUGUCCUGUAGGGUUGCUGUGAGUUGGAAUCAACUCAACGGCAACAGGUUAGGGUUUCUUUGGUUUAGAGCUCCACUGAGAAGGGUUCAGCAAGUCAUGUUUGCAUUUCACGUGAGGAAGUCCAGUUGGCCAAUGACCUUCUGAUAUUUCAUCUUAUUGCUAAUUGACCAUUGUUCUCUGUGAGUACUGAAGCAUCCCAUGUUUGUUAUUGGAAACUGGAAAACAUAGAGUCCAGAAGGCAUGACAGACCACUCAUUGUCUCACCACUCAGAGAUAGCUACUAUCUGCAUUGGCACAUUUGUUAUUUCUAUUACAUUCUGUACGUUUACAUACAUAUUGUUAUGUUUUCAAAACAAAGUGUGGAUCCUACUCUACAUAUGUAUUAUAUUUUGAUAUUCUUUAAUUUUACUGGCAGUUCCACUCUGUCCUAUAGGGUCGCUAUGAGUCGGAAUCGACUCAGCGGCAGUGGGUUUGGGUUUAUUAUAUUUUGAAACUGAAAUAUUGGAUCCUAUACUUUUUUAAAUCUGCUUUUCACAUAAUAAUAGAAGGGGGCUAUUUCCUGUAUCGUCCAACAUUCUCGCAGUCAUUAAGUUUAUGGCUCUAUUGUAGUCCAUCUUCUCAAUAGGCCACAGUAGAUCAAUUAUUUGAAUUUCCCUGGUCAAAGUAGGUUUGAGUUGAAUUAGUUUAUUCCUCCAUUCCUUCAACACAUAUUUACUAGACACUUGAAAUAUGCAAAAUGGAAGCAUCAAAGGUCCACAGUGUCGACAGCUCUCCUUGGUCUGGUCUCGGACAAACAUUUCCCUUGGGCCACAGUGGCCAAGGCAGGAGUGGUACCUGAUUAGAAGCACUGUCUUCCCCAACCUGGGAGUUGUUUUAAACAGCAUCUUUAGCAUUUUGAACUCUUUCCCAAACAGUCCUUGGCAAUCAGGAGAGAAAACCCAUUGUUGACAAGUCUAUUCAGAUUCAUAGCGACCUUAUAGGACUCCGUGGAGCUGCCCCAUAGGGUUUCCAAACUUGUAUAUCUUUACAGAAGCAGAUCGCCACAUCUUUCUCCCUGCAGCGGCUGAUGGGUUUCAAGGGCCCGCCUUCCGGUUAGCAGCCGAGUGCUUAACCGCUGCACCACCAGGGCUCCCUAAUCACGAGAAAGAUGAGCCUUAUUUCUCUUGUAUGUGUUUGUAGAAACUCAUAAAAGCGGUGGUAAAAAAAUUAACAAAAAGCGGUGUGAUGAACCCUCCACCACCGAGUUUACCCUUCCUGCUUGUAGCUGCCCCCCCUGAGAAAACAGAACAGGGUUCCCAUUAGCUGACCUUUUAAAGAGGAAGCUGAGCUCUGCGCUUUUUCAGAACAAGGGAAGGAGGAAGAUGAGGUUGUGUACUGUGCAGUGUACUGCGCAGGAAGGAGCCGGGCUCCAUACUACCUUCACGAAACUGUGGAAAAUGCUCCAUUUCCGGAACGUGCCUCAGCGGCAUCACUAGGGGAAUGCAGGGUGUGUGGACCGCACCCCUGAUACUGUCACGGGGUCAACACCAAAAUGACUCCAGGGUCCAAACAGUAGCGUCACUAGGGCUGGCGUCACCAGUCACCAGUAGGGCAACUUGUCACCACUACCCUCCAAGCCACCCACUAGGCACGGUGACUGGCCGAGGUGCCUGCCAGUGGGCAGAGAGGAAGGUCUUCGCCUUAGCCAACGGGAGACGGGAGGAUAUGCGCGGAGCCGCGGGGGGAGGGGCUGAGGGGGUGUGGCCAUGCAGUUCAGUGCUCCGCCCCGUGUGUGGGCGGGGCUGGGCUGCUUCACCCACCAGGGGGUUUGCGGGGUGGCUGGCCCACCCACCCUGGUUGGGGGAGGGAGUGACCCUAACCCUAUUAACACCACUGUCAUGCUGUCCCUCCCAGCUCAGCCCCCUCUGCAGGGAAGGGUCCAGGGGCUGGGACCUGUCUUGGGAGCUGAAGAGACCCAGGUUUGAACCUCAGCUCCCCCUAUCACCCGGUGGGGGGUGGGAGAUAGGUCUGAGCCUGGGUUACUGCUUCUGCAAAAUAGAGGAGCAUGGUGAGAGUGAAAUGCCAUCAAGGGCCUUUCAGCCCAAGUUCCUUCCCGCCUCCCUUCUCGCCUCUGCUCAGGACCUCUUUGAAUGCAUCCUUCCUCUGUCCCUUGUUAGCUCUGAGCCCUCGCCUUCUGUCUUGGUCUGCCCUUCCCUCCCAGUGCCCCCAGAAGCAGACCCUAAGACAGGGGUUGGAGUGAGGUCUUUACUUGGGAAGUGGUCCCAGGAAGCAGCAGCAGAGGUGAGUGUAAGACAGGGAGGGACCGAACUGGUAAAGGAUGAUUUCUCAAGUAAACAGUCCUGUGGACACCUGGGCUUAACCUCUGGGGAACUCUGCAAAGCUGUGCUGGUCCCCGAAGGGUUCUACCCGAGGCCUGAGGGUGCUGUCAGCCAUUGACUGAGUGCCUGUGGUGCUUGUGACCAGAGUAGGCUGGGACCCCAGGUGCCCUCAGCAGCCCCCACUGCAAUGGUGUGUAUGUGUGGGGCCUACAUGUUGCCUCUGCAGGCUCCAGGCUCAAAUCCUGGCUUUGUUUGGUAAGUACAGCCAAGAAGGAGCCUGGAACAAGGCGGUGGCCCGGGAGCUAGGUCGGGGGCGACUCGAGGAAUCCCAGGCCUCUUCUUCCCCAGGCGCUUGUUUAACUUUCCCUCCACUGCUUUCAGGGUCUCUCUGAUUGCCCGUCUCAGCUGUGUUCAGGAGCACCCAGCAAAGGGUCUUGUUUCCUCCCUGGGGCUGGGAGGUGGGCGGGUGGCCGGCCUGGCUACUCCUGGCUGCUCUGAGCCUGGUGGGGCCUUGGACCCCAAAAUGGGGCUGCAGCAGUAGAAUAGGACCCACUGAUGCUCCAGACCCCAGAAAUGCCAGUGUCCCAGGCCUCAGGCCUCUCUGCCCCCUGAUCUCUGCCCUGGAUGACCUUGGCUGCCACGAACGGCUUUAGGGGGGCAUAUGGUCUGAAGCCUUGUGGUCUGGGGUGUUGGAAAGGCUCCUUCUGGAGCUCAAAAUCCAUGAGUGUGGUGGGAAGGAGCCUGAGAAGGGGGAGGCUGAUGUGAGACGGGCACUGGAAGAAGCAGGGCCUGGGGUCUUUUCCUCAGAGGGAUCAACCCAGAUUGCGUGGCCUCUGCUGGGCCGGUGCCGUUGUCACCCCAGGUGCUCAGGCACUGAGGAAUGCCAGCGGCCGGCUGAGCCAGGAGGGCCCUAGCGAUCAGUGUUCAAGCCCAUCUGGCCCCUGGACUCUGAGGGCUGCAUCUCCUGCCCUGGGGCCACCGGCCACUGAGCAGAGAAGCUGGUGAAGACAGGGUAGCAGGGGAUCCAGAGGGAGCAAGCUGGCCGAGACAGCUCUGAGGACCCCCUCUGGGGCCAAGACUGGUGGGAACCUAGCUAGAGGAAAGUUAGGGCAGAAGUGCCGCUGCUCUCAGGACCGUCCCGCCUGGCUGCGUUGGGCGGGAACCCUUGCAUCCAGCAGAACAGGCAGCUGUGGUCUUCUCUUAGGUCCAGUGACCCCUGCCACCUCCCCACCGUCCUGCCCCACCUGGGAAUUCAUCUUAAGGAGGGGCUGCAUCCUGGUGCGCAGAGGCGAGAAGCCUGCUCUGGCUGAGGAAGCAGCUUGAAGUAAGGCAGGGAGGUGCUGUGGGCCACAGUGAGCUGCUGGAGUGUCCUGGGCGUCAGGGGCAUAAAAGGGAGGGGUGACCAUAGGGGAUGAGCAGGCCAAGGAUAGUCCUGGGGAGUUUGAAAGCCAGGCAAAGACACAGAAGCUCCUCCUGUAGGAAAAUGGAUCUUUGGAGAUUUAAAAAAAAAAUUUAUUUUUUAGAGCACUUUUAGGUUCACAGAAAAAUCCUACAGAAAAUACAGAGCUCCCAUAUACCCUUCUUGCCCGGCACACAGAUUCCCCUACUAUUAACAUCUUGCAUUUGUGUGGUACGUUUGUAACAACUGAUGAACCAAUACACAUUGCCGUUGAGUCAAUUCCGACUCAUAGCGACCAUAUAGGACAGAGUAGAACUGCCCCAUAGGGUUUCCAAGGCUGUAAUCUUUACAGGAGCGGCUGGUGGGUUCAAACCUCUGACCUCUCCGUGAGGAGUCGAGUGCUUAACUACUGUGCCACCAGGGAGGGCUCCUUCAAUGUUGAGCAUUACUGUUAACUGAAGUCCAUGGUUACAUUAGGGCUCAGCCUUGGUGCUGUAGCAUUGGAGAUUUUUAAUGAAGUGAAUUUCAUGAGCGGACUCGUGUAUUCAGCUCUUUUCAACUACUAUUGUGGAUGUGGCAUACACCGGUGCUGGGACGCAGACAUGAAUAACUUAUUUACAUUCUUCUGUUUAUUUAGGCAUCAGUUGAGUCCAGAAGGGAUUUCAGGGAGGUAAACACGGAAGAUACGAUGUUCGUACUCACAGUCUGGGUGCCUGGCAGGAGGCUUUGGAGAAGAGAGAGAUGUGGGAUAGAAGAGGUUGUGCCUGUCCAUCUCAGCAUUCUGGGGCGCACCAGUGAGCCCCCAGACUUGCCCUACACCGAGGGUCACAAAUGGGGAGCAAGGAGUGAGAAAAUGCCCAGGCUUGACAGUCCCUGGCUUUGGCACGGCUGGUCCGGGUGAAUGUUUGGACAUAAGUGUGUUGAUGUGGGCUGCAUAAUGACAGUUUAUGGUGAGGACCAAUUUGGGUUUCUGAGGCCACCCUGGGGUGGACUGCAUGGUGGCCAGGGUCUGCAGGGCAGGGGGUCACAGGAAGGUGUUGCCUUCCUUUCUGGUUUGUUUUCUGAGCUCAGGCUCCAGAACACUGAAGGCAUUGGAGGCAAGGGGUCUGCAGAGUCCAGGGUUCAUCAGGGACAGGGCCUGAGAGCCCCUGCAACAGCCAAGGGCGCGGUGGAGUGGAUGGCCACAGGGUGGAUCUGGUCUGUGGCUCAAGGGAGAGCUGGGGCUCGAGAGACAGGCGGUCCCUGCAGCAGGGGCCACAGAGAUGGCCCACGGGAGAGAGGACUCAGAAGAGGGUCGGAGGUGGAUCACAAGGGGAUACCAAGGUUUAAGGGACAAACACCUCGGGGGGUGGGGAAGCUGCAAAAGAGGGCAGGAGCGAAGCCUGGAAACCAGGAAGAAGAAUUUCCAGGAGACAAUGCAGUGAGCGUUUUACAGACUGCGAAUGGAGGUCCUCUUGAUCACUUUCCAGGGGGGCUUGGUCCAGCUCAUGUACUCCAGACCACUCUGGGUCUCUGCAUCCGCAGCGAGGUAAUGCUCUGGUUCCCACGCAGCACGCAGGGAGGGCUCCUGGAAGAGCCAGGCUUUCUAGGCUUUUUCUUUGGGGUGCUCAAGGUCAGAAGGUAGGCGGUGGGGGCGGGGGGAGAGGCUGUCCUCGAAGCUCAGGCCAGGGGACUGGGUGGGGACUGCAGUCACCUCGAGGCAGAUAACUGCUGAACAGGAGGAGCUGGAGGGAAAGGGCUGAUUGGACAGCGCCUGCGCCAGCGGAGCUGCUGCUAGCUGGUUUAACACUGGGCUGGCCACAGGCUGACAGCUGUGGGCUGUGCCUGGCCCCUUUCUUGCCGAGGCUGGCAGAUUCUGCACAGGCUUUCCCUGUCACUUCCUGGCCUCUUCCCAGCUCUGGCUCUCAGGAGCUUCGAAGUUGCAGGGCCUUCUACCAAGGCCUGGUAACAUGGAGUGCUGCCUGAGCCAGGCCCUGAGGCUGCACGUGUGUGCAUGUGUAUGUGUGCAUGCAUCCAUGUGUGUGCACUUGUGUGUGCAUGCAUGUGCAUUGUGUGUGUGUGUAUGUGUGUGUGCAUAUGUGUGUGUGAGAGAGAAGUAGGCUGGCCCAGCUGUGGACUGAGAAGCUGGCCCUCUGCAUAAGUGGGACAUGAGGGGCUGAUGAGUCAACUCCUCCCUGGUUCCCUGGUGUGCAGUGAUAUGAACGUGCAAAGGCUCUUCCUGCCCGGUGGGGUCAAGGGUGUGAGUGUCCUUGGGGCCCUUGGAAAAGGCAUGGAUUUUUUUUUUUUUAGUAUAAUUUAUUAUUUUUUAUUGUUGUUGAGAAUAUAUACAGCAGAACAUACACCAAUUCAACAGCUUCUGCAUGUACAAUUCAAUGACAUUGCUUACAUUCCUUGAGUUGUGCAAAUAUUCUCACUCUCCUUUUCAGGCUUGUUCCUCCUCCAUUAACGUCAACUGCCCCCUAAGGUUCCUGUCUCAUCUUUGGAGUUGCUGUUGUCAAUCUGAUCCCAUACUGAUAGAUCUUUAAAAGAGCACAUUGUUCAAGGAACAGGCUCUGUGUCUUGGCAAGAUGGCUGCCAGCAGCUCCAGGCUCAUAUCCACCCCGGUUCAAAUGCAGCAGAAAAGGGGAAAGGCCUCUACCUGGCAAGUCCUCAACAGAUUGAACGCAGAGUUACCAUAAGACCCAGCAAUUCCUCUCCUAGAGAAAUGAAAACAUACGUCCUCACAAAAACUUGUACACGAAUGUUCAUAGCAACAUGAUUCAUGAUAACCCAAAAGAGGAAACAACACAAAUGUCCAUCAACUGAUGAGUGGAUAAAGAAAAUGUGGUAUGUCCACAGAUUGGAUA